CCUACGGGAGGCAGCAGUGAGGAAUAUUGGUCAAUGGACGAGAGUCUGAACCAGCCAAGUAGCGUGAAGGAUGACUGCCCUAUGGGUUGUAAACUUCUUUUAUAAAGGAAUAAAACGAGGCACGUGUGCCUUUUUGCAUGUACUUUAUGAAUAAGGAUCGGCUAACUCCGUGCCAGCAGCCGCGGUAAUACGGAGGAUCCGAGCGUUAUCCGGAUUUAUUGGGUUUAAAGGGAGCGUAGAUGGGUUGUUAAGUCAGUUGUGAAAGUUUGCGGCUCAACCGUAAAAUUGCAAUUGAUACUGGCAGUCGUGAGUACAGUUGAGGUAGGCGGAAUUCGUGGUGUAGCGGUGAAAUGCUUAGAUAUCACGAAGAACCCCGAUUGCGAAGGCAGCUUACUAAACUGUGACUGACAUUGAUGCUCGAAAGUGUGGGUAUCAAACAGGAUUAGAUACCCCUGAAGUC
rnacentral:rRNA from 1 species